rnacentral:tRNA from 1 species
GGCUGGUUAGCUCAAUCGGUUAGAGCAUGGUGCUGAUAACACCAAGGUUGUGGGUUCGAUUCCCCUUCGGUCC